ACUGAAAACUGAUGCACUCAUAAAAGUCAUAAUAUUCGAAUUAUGAAGGAAACUUCAAUAAGCUUUGAAUUUUUCAUUCGUAUCCGCCAUCUUUUCCCUGCAUGUUGUUUACAUUUUGUUCAUAAAAAUUCGUACUUGUGUCUUACUAUUAAACACGACCCAUUUCAGUCGCAAUAAUCGUAUUCAAAUCUACAUGAUUCGUCGUUCGAAUACGUCAAUUAUACUUGCUGAUGAUCUUUGAGGCGUAUACUUGAUAUAAAAUGUAUAAAAUAUAUUCAGGAUUUAUACUGAUUUUGAUUGCAGUAAUUUAUUUCAUGGCAGAUAAAGAGAAACCAGAAUCGUCCAUCUUGAAAGAACCUUCAAAUGUGCUUCCAUUGACGUUAAUAAAUUUAGGCGAUAAGUGCAUCAUACCAUCCAAAUUGGAAACCGAUUCCUGGAUGAAUGGAAGUAAACUAGUAAGGAAAGGGAUAACAUUUUUGGCCGAAAUUGAAGGCGAUCAAGUGUUCAUGUGCAGGAUAGAAAAACCUUCAGGACAAACUAUUCAUUCGAAAUCAUCCCUUUUACCCAACGAUAAAAACUGCACAUAUCCAAUAAAGUUCAAAGAAAUGGAUCCCUUGAAAUGCUUCCAUGAGCCGGAACCAGUAGUUCAAAAAUUAGACAUGAAAAUGGGACCAGUUGAAAUUAAUUAUGUGCCGUGUGGUCCAGAUAAACGUGGUAAAAUGUAUCGAUUUGUAUACGAAGUUUGCAUGACGGAAAACGAGAUUGAAAAUGAAAAGUCACCAAAUUUUUGCAAUUUAGAG